UCGUGAAAAUGCUGCAGCUGCGGUGGAAGCCGUGUGGGACGGCACCGACGGCAUUGAUGCCGAGACCAAGGAUGCCGUUGCGCCUGAGCCAAGGGCUGCUGGCAAUGUCACGAAGACGACGGCAAAGGUGACUGCAAAAAGAGAUCCCGUGUGCAG
rnacentral:lncRNA from 1 species